GAUGAACGCUGGCGGCGUGCUUAACACAUGCAAGUCGAACGAAGCACUCUAUUUGAUUUUUUUCGGAAAUGAAGAUUUUGUGACUGAGUGGCGGACGGGUGAGUAACGCGUGGGUAACCUGCCUCAUACAGGGGGAUAACAGUUGGAAACGACUGCUAAUACCGCAUAAGCGCACAGUACUGCAUGGUACAGUGUGAAAAACUCCGGUGGUAUGAGAUGGACCCGCGUCUGAUUAGCUAGUUGGUGGGGUAACGGCCUACCAAGGCGACGAUCAGUAGGCGACCUGAGAGGGUGACCGGCCACAUUGGGACUGAGACACGGCCCAAACUCCUACGGGAGGCAGCAGUGGGGAAUAUUGGACAAUGGAGGAAACCCUGAUGCAGCGACGCCGCGUGAACGAAGAAGUAUUUCGGUAUGUAAAGUUCUAUCAGCAGGGAAGAUAAUGACGGUACCUGACUAAGAAGCACCGGCUAAAUACGUGCCAGCAGCCGCGGUAA
rnacentral:rRNA from 1 species